GGAUGAGCCUGCACUUGAUUAGUUUGUUGGUGGGGUAAUGGCCUACCAAGACUGUGAUCAAUAGCUGAUUUGAGAGGAUGAUCAGCCACAUUGGGACUGAGACACGGCCCAAACUCCUACGGGAGGCAGCAGUGGGGAAUCUUGCACAAUGGAGGAAACUCUGAUGCAGCGAUGCCGCGUGAGUGAAGAAGGCCUUUGGGUUGUAAAGCUCUUUCGUCGGGGAAGAAAAUGACUGUACCCGAAUAAGAAGGUCCGGCUAACUUCGUGCCAGCAGCCGCGGUAAUACGAAGGGACCUAGCGUAGUUCGGAAUUACUGGGCUUAAAGAGUUCGUAGGUGGUUGAAAAAGUUAGUGGUGAAAUCCCAGAGCUUAACUCUGGAACUGCCAUUAAAACUUUUCAGCUAGAGUAUGAUAGAGGAAAGCAGAAUUUCUAGUGUAGAGGUGAAAUUCGUAGAUAUUAGAAAGAAUACCAAUUGCGAAGGCAGCUUUCUGGAUCAUUACUGACACUGAGGAACGAAAGCAUGGGUAGCGAAGAGGAUUAGAUACCCUCGUAGUCCAUGCCGUAAACGAUGUGUGUUAGACGUUGGAAAUUUAUUUUCAGUGUCGCAGCGAAAGCGAUAAACACACCGCCUGGGGAGUACGACCGCAAGGUUAAAACUCAAAUGAAUUGACGGGGACCCGCACAAGUAGUGGAGCAUGUGGUUUAAUUCGAAGAUACGCGCAGAACCUUACCAACACUUGACAUGUUCGUCGCGACUCUAAGAGAUUAGAGUUUUCGGUUCGGCCGGACGAAACACAGGUGCUGCAUGGCUGUCGUCAGCUCGUGUCGUGAGAUGUUGGGUUAAGUCCCGCAACGAGCGCAACCCUCACUUUUAGUUGCCAUCAUUAAGUUGGGCACUCUGAAAGAACU
rnacentral:rRNA from 1 species